rnacentral:ncRNA from 1 species
GUGGCUCACUACGGGCGCUGGAUUGAAACAGCCCCUUCCGAAUCCAACCUCUCGACCCGGCUCGCCGGACUCUGAAGGAGAUUUGUGAAGGUACUGUGGAUAUCCGGCUGAGACUGUACCGUAAUUACUCGAUCAAGUUAAUGCUUGCGUGGGAAAUGUGCUGCCGCUUUGAU